UUUAGCCCUGAUUGUAGCGGUACCCUUUUUGUUUUUACAAAAAGAUAUAGCGAAAAGCAGGAAAUAG
rnacentral:sRNA from 1 species